GUAGGUGGCAAGCGUUGUCCGGAAUUAUUGGGCGUAAAGCGCGCAGGCGGUUCUUUAAGUCUGAUGUGAAAGCCCACGGGCUCAACCGUGGAGGGUCAUUGGAAACUGGAGAACUUGAGUACAGAAGAGGAAAGCGGAAUUCCACGUGUAGCGGUGAAAUGCGUAGAGAUGUGGAGGAACACCAGUGGCGAAGGCGGCUUUCUGGUCUGUAACUGACGCUGAGGCGCGAAAGCGUGGGGAGCAAACAGGAUUAGAUACCCUGGUAGUCCACGCCGUAAACGAUGAGUGCUAAGUGUUAGGGGGUUUCCGCCCCUUAGUGCUGCAGCUAACGCAUUAAGCACUCCGCCUGGGGAGUACGGCCGCAAGGCUG
rnacentral:rRNA from 1 species